AUUGAACGCUGGCGGCAUGCCUUACACAUGCAAGUCGAACGGUAGCGGGCCUUCGGGUGCCGACGAGUGGCGAACGGGUGAGUAAUGCAUCGGAACGUGCCAUUGAGUGGGGGAUAACGUAGCGAAAGUUACGCUAAUACCGCAUAUUCUGUGAGCAGGAAAGCAGGGGACCGCAAGGCCUUGCGCUCUUUGAGCGGCCGAUGUCAGAUUAGCUAGUUGGUGAGGUAAAGGCUUACCAAGGCGACGAUCUGUAGCGGGUCUGAGAGGAUGAUCCGCCACACUGGAACUGAGACACGGUCCAGACUCCUACGGGAGGCAGCAGUGGGGAAUUUUGGACAAUGGGGGCAACCCUGAUCCAGCCAUGCCGCGUGAGUGAAGAAGGCCUC
rnacentral:rRNA from 1 species